rnacentral:antisense_RNA from 2 species
UCCUAUGGCUGGGCGUGCUGGGGAACCUUCGGGUUCGCUGGUUCCUUCGGGCCAGUCUCUCAACCCGGCACGUCCGGCCACCAGG